UACGUAGGUGGCAAGCGUUGUCCGGAAUUAUUGGGCGUAAAGCGCGCGCAGGCGGUCUUUUAAGUCUGAUGUGAAAGCCCACGGCUUAACCGUGGAGGGUCAUUGGAAACUGGAGGACUUGAGUACAGAAGAGGAGAGUGGAAUUCCACGUGUAGCGGUGAAAUGCGUAGAGAUGUGGAGGAACACCAGUGGCGAAGGCGACUCUCUGGUCUGUAACUGACGCUGAGGAGCGAAAGCGUGGGUAGCGAACAGG
rnacentral:rRNA from 1 species